rnacentral:lncRNA from 1 species
AACCUUCUGAUCUUAGCCUCAAAAGCUCGAAUGGCCUCGAAAGAGGAACCCUAAUUCCUAAUAUGGCCUCAUCCAACCAUGCCUUACUUUCAUCCUUCCCAAUAAGCCUCCUUCUAGUUACAUUUUCAUCUUUUAACUCCUCCCUUCCCUUAAUCUUUAUACUAACUAUCUAAAUCCUAUAUAAUAUAAACUCUAUGAUCAAACUAGAUUAACUUCCAAAUAAUUUUUCUUAUUUCAAUUCAUUUUAAAUUAACAUACUAACUAUUCUAACUCACAUUAAGACUUAUAAACAUAUUACAUGUUUUCACUAAUUUUUACAUACUGUAAGUAAUUACAGUACGACAUCCACCCCCUCCAAACCUGCACAUCCUCCGGUAUGUGCCACAUACUACUCUUCUUCAUCCUCUUGAGACUUCUUGGAAUCACUCAUAAAAUCUUCUUCUUCAUGUUCUUGGUCCAAAUAUUGAGGUAAGAA